AACCCAUGACAUGUGGCAAAGGUGAUGAGCUAUUACUCCCAUGAUUGUUACUGCAAAGGUCUGGAAUUUUGCAAGUGCAAUUAAGGUCAUUAAUGAGUUGAUAGUAACCAAAAGGGAGCUCUUCCAGGUCCACCUAUCCAGUGAAUCCUUUAAAAGAGAAUCUACAGGUCAAAAAGAAGAGAGACACUUCUGCUGGCCUUGGAAAAGCAAACUUCUAUGUGUGAAGAGCACUACAUGGUAGAAUUCCACAGAUGGCCUGCAGGAGCUGAGAUUCUGAGUCCUGCAACUGCAUGGAACUGGAUUCUGCCAAUCAUCAGUGAGCUUGGAAGAGUCCAAACUCAUAGUCUCAAAAAAGAUCUCAGCCCUGGCCAACACUUUGAUUUUACCUGGUGAAAUCUCAACAGAUCUUCGGGAGGACAUCAAUCAUCUGGACUUUAUUGUCACUUCAAUUGAGCCAUGUUAUUCUCUUUUUCCAUCACUACCUGCUUUGACUCUGGAAAUCACCUCUUAGGAAGUUCAUUCAUGGGCUGGGGAUAUAAUUCAGUGGUAGUGAGCUUGUUUAGCAUGCAUGAGGCCCUGGUUACAUCCCCAGAACUGCAAAAGAAAAAAAAAAAAAGAAGCUUUGAUGUUAAGGACUUCCUGUGAGCUUUGUGGGGACUGUCGGAAGAUAAAUAAAGCAAAGAGAUGUUUGUC